AUGCUGGCACACAGUCAGAGGACACAGGCUACAGCCGCAACUCUGCUCCUAACAGGCUGGGUGACUCAUGGACCAGCACCGAGCAGGUCGCUCCAUAGAGGAUGGGACCACAGAGGCUGGCUUGGUCGAUGCAGUGGCCCAUUCUCACAAACCCUCAUGCAAUACUGGGGCUGGCACCUGGAAUGCUGGAGUUUUUGGAAGCCUUGUACACCAAUCGGGCCAGACGGUGCAUUGCCUUCCACGAAGUUUGAGCCAGGAACAAGUCGGAUAUAAAUGAGGUGCUGGCGAGAGGAAUGGGGGAGUGCCCAUCAUCACACUCCCAUCUCAAAGGAAAGCCUUCCCUGCUCCCAAAGUCUGGUGACCUCAGCUGGGGAAGCCUGGC
rnacentral:lncRNA from 1 species